AUGUCGAGCAGAGACACCAACAAGCAAGCAGAGGUCUGUGUUGGGUGUUCGACUCUCUUGUCAUGUUAAUAUUUCUCUCGAGAUCAUUCUAGCUUAGAAAAUUCACUUGUUUGUGAAUCUAUCUUGGUGUAUUGUUUGACUUCGCAUUCUGCCUUCAGGUCUGACACAUGACGGUCACAACAUGAUGGGACUGUCGAUGUUAUCACAACUUGCAGUAGUGAGUUUGACAAAAGAUUGUCAUUGAGGUAUUAUAUAUAGUUGGAGACACUUGUGACGGAAUAAAUGAGGAUGAGCAUGGAAUAAUUGAUGUGAUUUCUUUAUUUGAUUUGAUAUAAUUUUAGCUUAAUUAAAUCUGAUUGACAAUGUGACGAGGGAAAAGAUGG
rnacentral:lncRNA from 1 species